GUACCGCCUCAUCCAUCCAUUUACGUGCUCGGCGUCACCACCGCAGGUUCCGACCACACCGCACCCUCAUCACUCGUCAUUUUCAUUUUGGCUCAACCAUUUAGGGUUCGCCUUCCCUCCACCCGUCACUCGUCUCCAUGCCCUGUUGCUCCAAAUCUUCGGGUACGCUGCGGGGGUCAUGUGCGAGCCUCGUCUCCAUGGCCCGUUUCCCCGUAUCUCCAGGUGCGCCGCCGGGGUAGCGCGCGAGGCUUAGCGCCACCACGAGCUGGGCCUUUGACGAGGAUUCCACUGUGGCUAUGGCAAGGAUCACCUGAUGCAGGCCCUCCCUACAAAGGUGCAGACGAGGCCGUGAUCCAGCAUAGUACCCCAGCCUGCUUAGCUUGGUGGUGAUUGGCUAGCACUUGAGGUGAUUGGAGAUAAGAUAUGAAUGAGCUCAUCAAUGAUGUGACAAUCAAAACUAGUGAUGCUACAACUCGAUCAACAGCUGCAAGGGGACGUAAGCAGAAUGCUCGGGUUAACUAAGGUCACCGGAUUAUUGAACAUGAAUGCAAAUCGGAAGGCAUUUUGAGUAAUUAAAAGCAAAUAUAUUUAGCAGUUUGGAGCACCUAUUGAGUAUACUUUGCAAAUUUUGAUUCAUAUUGUGCAGCAAUGAAAAUUGUAGGCAAAUCAAUAGGUA